rnacentral:lncRNA from 1 species
AAAGCUUCAAAAAUUCAACACAGUUUUGAUGAUAUGAUGAUCAAUGCAAAUUAUUUUGUAUAAUGAAACGAUUACGCAUCAUGGUCUUUAAUAUAUUUUUUAAGACACUUCAGUCAGGAGAGUUUUAGACUUUAUUGUUAAUGCAGUCAAUGCGGGUAAAAGCGAGUUUUUCAACGUUUUUAUGAAUGAUCAGUUCAAGUUGCCAUAAAAAUGCGUUUAUUUGUUGUUUUAAACUGUCUGCUGCUCAGAAAUUAGCAUUUAGUUCUGAUAUAUUUAAUCAAAAUUUAAAAAAAUCAAAAAAAUACAAAACCCGUCAUCUCAUUCUUCAUUCUUGGUUAACAGUGAUUUCUUGGCUUUCUAACGCUUUCUUGAAGGACUCAAAAAGGCAAGAGAAAAUUACUGGUGUUCGAUUUAGAAAAAAAUCUGAUUUAUUGGUCUUGGAUUGGAUAAGUUUGAGAAAAUUCAUUAUUGAGAAAUCACAAAAGCUGAAACUGAAAUUUUUGAAAAAAAUGAGAAUUCGCGAGAUUACGAAUUGAGUAUGUUUGUAAUUUUAUGUAAUAAUUUAAGUAGUUUAUCGAUUAUUGCGAAAAUAUGUGUUGGUUGUAGUGAAAACAUCAAUCAGCUCAAAACCAGUGGUAGAUUAAUCGCUCAUAGACACGAAACUGUUGAUGAUUAAUGUUAAAAUUAAUCUAUUACUAUCUACAUUUUUAUCACUGAGAGCAUUUAAAGUUGAUGUUUGCUGACUAAAAUCAUAUCUACCCGAUUCCUACUAUCAGUAAGCAACAAAAUGUUUGUUCGAAUUUUUAAAUUAUUGAUGAAUCCCACGUUUCAAGGAACAUUACUUGGGCGCACGGUAACUAGCAAUUAAAAGCAACUGUAAGGCAAACAAGAUCCACACCAACCCCAACCCCAUUUGUGCUGUAAUGAAAAUACUUUCUACACUUGUAACUCAUAUCAGCAUCGGUGAAUAUUUGUGAAUGGAUUGAAAAUACAGUAUAAUUCAUAUACAU